rnacentral:rRNA from 1 species
AAAGCAGGCUUUAGCUUGAAUACAUUAGCAUGGAAUAAUGAAAUAGGACGUUCGAACCUAUUUUAGUUGGUUUCUAGGAUCAACGUAAUGAUUAAUAGGGAUAGUUGGGGGCAUUAGUAUUCAAUUGUCAGAGGUGAAAUUCUUGGAUUUAUUGAAGACUAACUACUGCGAAAGCAUUUGCCAAGGAUGUUUUCAUUAAUCAAGAACGAAAGUUAGGGGGAUCGAAGACGAUCAGAUACCGUCGUAGUCUUAACCAUAAACUAUGCCGACUAGGGAUCGGAUGAUGUUAAUUUUUUUAAUGACUCAUUCGGCGCCUUACGG